rnacentral:rRNA from 1 species
UACGGAGGGUGCAAGCGUUAUCCGGAUUCACUGGGUUUAAAGGGAGCGUAGGUGGGUCUGUAAGUCCGUGGUGAAAUCUCCGAGCUUAACUUGGAAACUGCCAUGGAUACUAUAGGUCUUGAAUACUGUGGAGGUUAGCGGAAUAUGUCAUGUAGCGGUGAAAUGCUUAGAUAUGACAUAGAACACCAAUUGCGAAGGCAGCUGGCUACACAAAUAUUGACACUGAGGCUCGAAAGCGUGGGGAUCAAACAGG